CCUACGGGAGGCAGCAGUGAGGAAUAUUGCUCACUGGGCGCGAGCCUGAACCAGCCAAGUAGCGUGAAGGAUGACUGCCCUACGGUUUGUAACCUUCUUUUAUAAAGGAAUAAAUUACGGCACGUGUGCCUUUUUGUCUGUACUUUAUGAAUCAGGCUCGGCUAACUCCGUGCCAGCAGCCGCGGUAAUACGGAGGAUCCGAGCGUUAUCCGGAUUUAUUGGGUUUAAAGGGAGCGUAGAUGGGUUGUUAAGUCAGAUGUGAAAGUUUGCGGCUCAACCGUAAAAUUGCAAUUGAUACUGGCAGCCUUGAGUACAGUGGAGGUAGGCGGAAUUCGUGGUGUAGGGGUGAAAUGCUUAGAGAUCACGAAGAACUCCGAUUGCGAAGGCAGCCUACUAAACUGCCACUGACAUUGAUGCUCGAAAGUGUGGGUAUCAAACAGGAUCAGAUACCCGAGUAGUC
rnacentral:rRNA from 1 species